rnacentral:rRNA from 1 species
GACGAACGCUGGCGGCGUGCUUAACACAUGCAAGUCGAACGGAAAGGCCCUGCUUUUGUUGGGUUCUCGAUUGGCGAACGGGUGAGUAACACGUGAGUAACCUGCCCUUGACUGUGGGAGAACUUCAGGAAACUGGGGCGAAUACCGGAUAUGAGCUCCUGCUGCAUGGUGGGGGUUGGAAAGUGUCGGCGGUUGGGGAUGGACUCGCGGCUUAUCAGCUUGUUGGUGGGGUAGUGGCUGACCAAGGCUUUGACGGGUAGCCGGCCUGAGAGGGUGAACGGCCACAUUAGGACUGAGAUACGGCGCAGACUGCUAUGGUAGGCAGUAGUGGGGAAUAUUGCACAAUGGGCGGAAGCCUGAUGCAGAAACGCCGCGUGCGUGAUGACGGCUUUCGGGUUGUAAACCGCUUUCGCCUGUGACGAAGCGUGAGUGACGGUAAUGGGUAAAGAAGCACCGGCUAACUACGUG